rnacentral:rRNA from 1 species
AUGCCAGCCUCUGCCCUGCUCCCCCUGGUGGAUAAACUCGUGCGGAAGCUCGCAACUUCGAAGGGGACGCUUCUUUCCCGCGGCGAACGGCUGGCUCUAGUCCGGCAUGUGCUCUCCGCCAUGCCCAUCCACAUCCUUAUGGCAAUCGCUAUCACCCCGACGAUUCUUCGUAAGAUCACGCGCGUCAUCCGCGACUUCCUUUAGCAUGGGCGCAAGGAUGCCCGCACUGGUAGCUGCCUGGUCAACUGGCCCCGCGUCUGUCGCCCUCUCGAGCUUGGCGGUCUUGGCGUGCGUGACCUGCAUCGUGUGGGCAUCUCCCUGCGUUGCCGUUGGCUCUGGCUCAGGGCCACCGAUCCCUCUCGCCCAUGGCACCACCUUCAUCUCCCCAGCGACGAGGUCACCGCCCAGUUCUUCCGCGCCUCCACUUCCUGGCAGCUCGGGAAUGGCACGACAUGCUUAUUCUGGACCGACCACUGGCUCGGCGGGCAGUCGAUCAAUGAGCUUUUUCUCCAUCCCUCCUCCGGCUAG